UACGUAGGGUGCGAGCGUUGUCCGGAAUUAUUGGGCGUAAAGGGCUCGUAGGCGGUUUGUCGCGUCGGGAGUGAAAUCCACUGGCUUAACUGGUGGCUUGCUUUCGAUACGGGCAGACUAGAGGCAUGCAGGGGAGAACGGAAUUCCUGGUGUAGCGGUGAAAUGCGCAGAUAUCAGGAGGAACACCGGUGGCGAAGGCGGUUCUCUGGGCAUGUCCUGACGCUGAGGAGCGAAAGUGUGGGGAGCGAACAGG
rnacentral:rRNA from 1 species